GACGAACGCUGGCGGCGUGCUUAACAAAUGCAAGUCGAACGGAAAGGCUCCAGCUUGCUGGAGUACUCGAGUGGCGAACGGGUGAGUAACAAGUGGGUAAUCUGCCCUGCACUCUGGGAUAAGCCUGGGAAACUGGGUCUAAUACUGGAUAUGACCUUUCUCCUUAUGGGGGUUGGUGGAAAGUUUUUCGGUGUAGGAUGAGCCCGCGGCCUAUCAGCUUGUUGGUGGGGUGAUGGCCUACCAAGGCGACGACGGGUAGCCGGCCUGAGAGGGUGAUCGGCCACAUUGGGACUGAGAUACGGCCCAGACUCCUACGGGAGGCAGCAGUGGGGAAUAUUGCACAAUGGGCGGAAGCCUGAUGCAGCGACGCCGCGUGAGGGAUGACGGCCUUCGGGUUGUAAACCUCUUUCAGCAGGGACGAAGCGUAAGUGACGGUACCUGCAGAAGAAGCACCGGCUAACUAUGUG
rnacentral:rRNA from 1 species